GCGUGAGUGCACUUGCCACUGGAGCUGCUGGUUAUAGUGCAGGCGCUCCCCAAACUCAAUGUGGACUUAUGCGUCCUACUCACCAACAGACGAAUCGACCAAACGAGAACGGCAAUUUCCUGGUCACACACAACAUUCCCUCACCAUAUGUGCCAGGCGAAACGUAUCAAGUGACGGUGUCGUCCAAUCCCCCAACUAACUUCCGCGGCUUUUUAUGUGAAGUGCGCAAUGCAACGGUGGCACGAGACGCAAGCGGAGAUGGCGUGGGCCUGUUCUCGUCUACCACAUUCGGUCUGCUCAGUUGCGGAAGUCCGAAUUGCUGAGGUUGCAUGGGAUUUUUACAACUGCUGGUAGAGUUCAAGGUGAGUACACUGUUC